GGUCUCCACCAGCUGUCCCCAAGAGACCCUGGGGCAUCGCUCACCAACAGAGCGAGGCACAGCUCAGGUGGGGCAAAGCCAGUGUCCCCCUUCUUUGUGGGGACAUAAGACUUAUUAGGAAGCCACUGGGAAGGAACAAUGUUUUGGAAAUAAUAAUAGUGCAAGGGGGAUGGAAAAAGUAAGAGCCUUGGUAGGGGGUGGGUCUCCAAGAAGUGGCUGUGCUCCUGUUUCUGAGGGAGAGUCCAGCAAGAGGACAGCAAGACCCCAGAAGGGACCAUCUGCAGGACAGGGACCCAAAAGGCGCCCUCCCCGGACACGGAAGCAGCGAACGAUUCCUGGGUCCUCGAGCCAGAGAAUCAGAGAACAGAGCUUGUCAAGGCGGCUGGUGGGCCUGAAAUGAUAAGGGCCUUCUCGUGGGGGCACACGUGAACUGAAGAACAUGGACCAAAGCGACAACAGAUGCCUCUGGGGACAACUGUGAGCACAGAUCAGCAUAACUGGAAGGAACUACAGAAGAAACUAACAGCCAGAGAAGGUGGGAAACUGCUUGGUCCAUGUGCCUCAUCUCAGUGAAUGAGACCAACACCUACCAACACUCAUUUGGAGUUUAGUCCACCAUAUGCAAUUCUUCCCAAGUUCCGCCAAAUUCACCUAAAUAUACCUCAUGUGUGUCCAAUUUACCAAUGGUAGCAAAUACAUUACCCUCCUCGAAGCUGA